AGAGUUUGAUCCUGGCUCAGGAUGAACUCUAGCUACAGGCUUAACACAUGCAAGUCGAGGGGCAGCAUGGUCUUAGCUUGCUAAGACUGAUGGCGACCGGCGCACGGGUGAGUAACACGUAUCCAACCUGCCUUAUACUCCCGGACAGCCUUCUGAAAGGAAGAUUAAUACGGGAUGGUAUCACGGGCCAGCAUUUUCUCGUGAUUAAAGAAUUUCGGUAUAAGAUGGGGAUGCGUUCCAUUAGAUAGUAGGCGGGGUAACGGCCCACCUAGUCGACGAUGGAUAGGGGCUCUGAGAGGAAGGUCCCCCACAUUGGAACUGAGACACGGUCCAAACUCCUACGGGAGGCAGCAGUGAGGAAUAUUGGUCAAUGGGCGCGAGCCUGAACCAGCCAAGUAGCGUGAAGGAUGACUGCCCUACGGGUUGUAAACUUCUUUUAUAAAGGAAUAAAGUGAGGCACGUGUGCCUUUUUGUAUGUACUUUAUGAAUAAGCAUCGGCUAACUCCGUGCCAGCAGCCGCGGUAAUACGGAGGAUGCGAGCGUUAUCCGGAUUUAUUGGGUUUAAAGGGUGCGUAGGCGGGCUUUAAGUCAGCGGUAAAAAUUCGGGGCUCAACCCCGUCCGGCCGUUGAAACUGGGGGCCUUGAGUGGGCGAGAAGAAGGCGGAAUGCGUGGUGUAGCGGUGAAAUGCAUAGAUAUCACGCAGAACCCCGAUUGCGAAGGCAGCCUUCCGGCGCCCUACUGACGCUGAGGCACGAAAGUGCGGGGAUCGAACAGGAUUAGAUACCCUGGUAGUCCGCACAGUAAACGAUGGAUGCCAGCUGUCCGGGCCGAAUGGGGCCUGGGUGGCAAAGCGAAAGCGUUAAGCAUCCCACCUGGGGAGUACGCCGGCAACGGUGAAACUCAAAGGAAUUGACGGGGGCCCGCACAAGCGGAGGAACAUGUGGUUUAAUUCGAUGAUACGCGAGGAACCUUACCCGGGCUCAAACGCGUCAGGGAUCCCCUCUGAAAGGAGGGGAGUCAGCAAUGACCUGGCGCGAGGUGCUACAUGGUUGUCGUCAGCUCGUGCCGUGAGGUGUCGGCUUAAGUGCCAUAACGAGCGCAACCCCUACCGACAGUUGCUAACUGGUGAAGCAGAGGACUCUGUCGGGACUGCCGGCGCAAGCUGCGAGGAAGGCGGGGAUGACGUCAAAUCAGCACGGCCCUUACGUCCGGGGCGACACACGUGUUACAAUGGCAGGUACAGCGGGAAGCCACCGGGCGACCGGGCGCGGAACCCGAAAACCUGUCUCAGUUCGGAUCGGAGUCUGCAACCCGACUCCGUGAAGCUGGAUUCGCUAGUAAUCGCGCAUCAGCCACGGCGCGGUGAAUACGUUCCCGGGCCUUGCACUCACCGCCCGUCA
rnacentral:rRNA from 1 species